ensembl:snRNA U6 U6 spliceosomal RNA
AUGCUCACUUCGGCAGCACAUAUACUAAAAUUGGAAUGAUACAGAGAAGAUUAGCAUGGCCCCUGCGCAAGGAUGACACGAAAGCCAUAGGUUUCUCCCACUGGGACGGAUUCCAUCUUUUU